rnacentral:tRNA from 1 species
UAACCUGCUGACAGACUGGGAGCGUGUUUUAGGCGUCACACCUAAUGAGGAUGACAGUUAUCAGCAGCGUCUGGAUCGUGUUCUGAUUAAGUUGUC